CCCUUAGAUGUUUUGGGCCGCACGCGCGCUACACUGACGAAUGCAACGAGCUUAUAACCUUGGCCGAAAGGUCUGGGUAAUCUCCAAAUUUCGUCGUGAUGGGGAUAGAUUAUUGCAAUUAUUAAUCUUCAACGAGGAAUGCCUAGUAAGCGCAAGUCAUCAGCUUGCGUUGAUUACGUCCCUGCCCUUUGUACACACCGCCCGUCGCUCCUACCGAUUGAAUGGUCCGGUGAAGCGUUCGGACCGUGGCCUUUGGACGGUUCGCCGUCUGUUGGCUGCGGGAAGUUCGUUAAACCUUAUCAUUUAGAGGAAGGAGAAGUCGUAACA
rnacentral:rRNA from 1 species